ensembl:lncRNA
CAGUAAUUGUGAUCAGCUGAAGACUGUACCUUUGUUUUAUUUGUGGUUGUGGAAUGCAGCUCCUUAUCAGGUACGGGUAUGCAGAGGCUGGCAGUUUCCUCGGCCUGCUUCCCAACUUUUAGGGGAAGGACUGUAAUGGCUAGAUGUAUUUUCAGCCUACCUUCAUCUGGAAAGCAUUAUAGGACAAUGAAGAGAGAAACCACAGUGUUGUCAGCAGGGAAAAGCAAGCCUGACCUCCUCCAUGUGCAACUCCUCUUGGAAAGGGGAUCAGAGAUCUCCAUGCUCCAUGGCAAAGUGGGCUCCCUCAGCCUGCUGCUGGCUGCAGAGCUGUACAGACCUUGACUCCAAAUGACUGUGGCUGUCUGCAGCAAUAGGAGGACUAGGUGGAACAUGACACACUUGUACUUGUAUGCACCUGGAGAGAAAGGGACUGUGAGAAAAAUCCACAGCCUGCAGCCUGGGGACUUUUGAAAUCAUGACCAAAGGCAAAUCACUGAAGUGCAAUAUUAUGAUCAAGGCCAUACAUACGAUUAGCUGCAGAGAAGUCUGUUGGCUGUGGGCUGGAGAUGCCAUGACCUAUUUGGAGAUACCAUGAGCUACUGUUAGCUUAUUGUAGGAAACUAGGGCCCUGUUAUGCUGCAAUUUAACAAUAUGUGCUUUUCUCUUUCAGCAGCAGGUCCAGACACCUGAUAGGAGAAAAGUGUCUGUUAACCUGUGGAUGAGUGAUUUUGGUUUGUUUUCAGCUGUACAGCUGCGGGAUGAGAUGAAAGGCCAGUAAAGGAGAACAGCUGCAGACUUGAGCUUUGAAACUUAAUUAUAAUAACAUGGCAAGCUACAUGAGAAGGAAAAGAAAAGAGAAGUGACUCAAAUGUUGGAGUUCUAGAGUUCUUGUUCAUUUUGUCAAGGUGUGAUGUGAGCACUCACCGGAAAAUGUAUCAGUGGGAAACGGUCAGUAAGAUAUAACUCCUUUUAAGGAGUACAACUACUUAAUAGCGUUAAGAGUCUGGGGCCAAUUAAGUUUGUGUGAAACUUUUGUUCCAAAACUCCAACGCAUGUGAAACUUGCCGGGUUGUUUGCUUCAGAGAAGAUUUGGCUGCAUGACAACACCCAAAGACACAUCCCUGCCUGCCAUCUUCCACAGCCAUGGCACUCUAGGACAAAAUUGCUUAAUGCUAAGUGGCUCCACGUGCUGAUAUGAUGGUGAAUGGGUCAUCCAAACACAGAUGAUGGACAUGUGCUGUGGUGCAAGGGCUAGGUUUCUCCAAAGUCUGAUCUCCCUGUGCAAUUCACUGUCACGUGGUAAGACCUUGAUGCCAGAGGGCUUUCGUAGCUGCCAUCUGCUGAAUCUGACAGAAAGUGAUUCACGUGUUCCUGCCUCUCCAGCAGAGGUUUCAGCCUUCCUAAAUGGGAGGAGAUGGUGGAGGAGAAGGCAGGUCCCUCCACUGAUGUGCUCAUCAUAGUCUGGAAGCAGAUGUUGCAAGGUGUAGGCCUAAUCCUGCACUUGAUAUUUCCCAUCACCCUAGCGGCAGCAAGAAAGGGAAGGGGCUGAGAUGCAUGUCAUAUCAAUCCACUGAAGGACAAUUCACCAGGGGACAUGGGACAACACUGGAUGAGGGCAGUGGUGGUCCUGGUAGAUGAAUGUGUUGAUUUGAUGUGGCCAGCCUUGCUUCUCCUGACAGGGAGGCUAAGGUGGUGUAGGUUCUUCUGACCUUCACACCCACCACCAGUGCCCAAAAUGACUGGGAGCAGCAUGGCUGAAGUCCUGCCUUCCCCCAUCCACUCUUGAAGACUUGGUGGCACUCCAGGCUGGAGGAAGCUGGAAGAUUAGCCAGUUUCCAGAAAAUACGGCAAUUGCUUCAAGAGGUUAUGAUGUGAAUAACAUGGCAGGUAUUGAUAAAUCCAGGUGUCUGCUCUCAGCAAGUUGAAUUAUCCAUUGAACUGCCAUGGCUUUUCCCUGCUGAAGAACAGGUCUUCUACUGAUGCAGAAAGAGCUGGAGCUAUGCUUGCCUCUCCUCUCUAGGCAAAUCAGCAAGGAAAGAGGUAAGGAGUCAGCUCCCAUGCAGCAGAUUUAUGCUUAGGACAUGUGAAAGUCCUAAGCAAGAUGCUCCUCUUAUGCUGGGGAACAGGCUGACAUGCAGCAGGGCAGGUGACAGCCCAGCUCUGCCAAUUAUGCCCAGACGUGCAAAAUUAUUUCCCAGUGAAACUGGAGGGACUUUAAGUGCAUAAUUGAGUAUCAGGCCUUUGCUCUUCCACCUGCACAGCUCCAUAUUUAUAUAAAGUGGGGAUACUAUUUCUCUGUGUAAUAAAGGGUUUACAAGAUCAAAGUGCA